rnacentral:rRNA from 1 species
UGAAGGUUGGACGAGGGAUGAGCUGUCUCCUUUACGUAAUUUGAAUUUAACUUUUGAGUGAAAAGGCUCAAAUUAUUUAGUGGGACGAUAAGACCCUAUAAAACUUUAUAUAAGUUUAAUUUGGCUUACAAUUUGAGUGAAAAGUAGCUUUAUUAGGCUUAUAUUUCGUUGGGGAGAUGUAGAUAUAAUGUGUAACUGUCUGUUUAAUUUAAUAAUUAUAAUUAGUGUGUGAUCCUUCUUUGUGGAUUAAAAGUAUAAGUUACUUUAGGGAUAACAGCGUGAUUUUCUUUGAGAGUUCUUAUCGACAAGAGUAGUUGCGCCCUCCAUGUUGAAUUAAAAUUUCAGUUAGGUGUAGCCGUCUAGCUGGUAGGUCUGUUCGACCUUUAAAAUUUUACAUGAUUUGAGUUCAAACCGGUGUGAGCCAGGUUGGUUUUAUCUAAA